rnacentral:lncRNA from 1 species
UGCAAGACAUGAUUGACAUAUUAUAUUUUCCAAAAGCUGUACAACAUAAUAUUUGAGAAGUGGAGGACAUCCUCUAACAGAAUUACCCCAGACAAGGAUUUCAACGCUCAACUAGGUCUCCUUACCAAACCUUGUCACGGACUAUGUCGGUUGCUGUUUGAAGGGCCACGUGAUCAUCACAAUUGCUCGGGAAAAAUGAGAAAUUACUGUAUCGCGCCAACGAAAUGUUCUUAUUAAGGAGUUUUAGAUGUGCGCAGGGAAAGACCAAGAGUGACUGCAACCGAAUUAUAAUUACCACGUAGUAGAAUGGGACAUCGAUUGAAUCUACGCUAAAAAGCGGUUCAGGAUUUAACAUUUGACUAAUGUCCAGAUUUUGCUUGCAAAUCUGAAUGCACCCAAUUACAUGUUUAAACUUGAAAUGAGCUUGAACAGUGGUAGAACAAUUUUACUUGCAAUGUAAAUCAUUUAGCUCUUCUUAAACUGUUUAGUUGUUGAAAAUGUUGUUGUAUAAAAGAUUAUU